GUGAGAGGAGCGAGCACACUCCGCCUGAGCAGCGGCAGCAGCGGAUGUACCGGAGCUGCUGCUGAGACCCGGAGGAGCUGCUUGUUUGGGGGGAAACAUUGAAAGGAUCGAAACUGCAGCAAAGAAGGAAAAGAGGAGUUGAUUUCUUACAAAGCCAGAAGCUGCUGUUUUAUUCAAGGGAAAAGUUCCGCUGACAGAAGACGACGGGAUCAUUUGGGGGGGGGUUUGCAGUGCGGGCUGCUGGUGGAGAACAUCUUGUUUUAAGAGCUCAGGAGAAGAAGCCCAGAGAGGAGCGAGGUCCUGGGAUGAGAGCUCUCUGCCUCCUCCCUGUCUCCCCCAGGCCCAUAGGAGGAGAACACUGGGUGACACGCUGAGAUCCGCCGUCUCCUCUGCUCCCCGUCUUUCCUCUUAGUCGAGCCCAGCUGUCCCCUUCCUUCAUUAACUUCCAACACUGCUCACCGCCUGUGUUGGAAGGUCACCUUCAAAACACAAAGGACUCUGUGCAAAUACGCCCCAGUGCUUUGUUUAUGGGUGAGACGUGUUUCUCGCAAGCAAAAGCUGCAAUAAUCAGUCAUUUUAUGUUGAA